GAACUGAAGAGUUUGAUCAUGGCUCAGAUUGAACGCUGGCGGCAGGCCUAACACAUGCAAGUCGAGCGGAUGAAGGGAGCUUGCUCCCGGAUUCAGCGGCGGACGGGUGAGUAAUGCCUAGGAAUCUGCCUGGUAGUGGGGGAUAACGUCCGGAAACGGGCGCUAAUACCGCAUACGUCCUGAGGGAGAAAGUGGGGGAUCUUCGGACCUCACGCUAUCAGAUGAGCCUAGGUCGGAUUAGCUAGUUGGUGGGGUAAAGGCCUACCAAGGCGACGAUCCGUAACUGGUCUGAGAGGAUGAUCAGUCACACUGGAACUGAGACACGGUCCAGACUCCUACGGG
rnacentral:rRNA from 1 species